AGGACCCAAGUAGAAAUUGUCAAGCGAAAUAUAGGCCCGAGGGGGUGUGAAGGGUAAAAAUUUGCUCGAAUCGUGAGAUGGAAGAAACUUCGCCGUAGGAAAGAGCAGGACGACGAUAAAAUUCUAUGGUGGUGUUGGUGAACGUCACCCAUCCUAUGGCGGCAUUUUCAAAACAAAAACAAAUCGUAUGUCCUAACGAAUAUAAGCUGAACGUAUUUUCAUAUUUCUUGCGUGUUUUGAGUGUUUUGUAGCUCCCAUUUGGUGAAAAAGUGUUUAAUUAUGUAUAGUACAAAUCGUUUAAAGGAAAGUACAGGGUCAUUCUAUCGUGCUAAAGUUAAUUUGGGACAGUUUUAAAAGGAAUCAGAAGCAGAUAAGUUAGCGCCAGUUCAGAAGGACUAGGUAAGUUGCAUUUCUUUUCUUUGUGUGUUGUGUUUUAUUAUAUUCAUAUAAUAAACCACACGACAACGAGCGUUUAAUUGAACAAAUCUUCUAUGUUUCAGCAAUUGGAUAGCCGUACGCUGCAGAUACAGUGCUUAAAGCGGAAGUACAUGAAGGUUCUAGGGGUGGGAUAGAUUUACGAAACGGAGUGUACGUAGACGAACGACAAUUGGAAUCAAGCCGGAACGAAAGAAGAGGGAGUCUAAAACCACCUUUCAAUGUGCCGCUACGAGUUGACAAACAGUUGAUAACUGUUGUAGGAUGUCAGUUGAAGGCUUGUAAAGUGUUCUUGGAUAUUGUUUUCGGUCGACCAGAAAUAGUUUGUAGGAAACCCACUCACUGUUGCGACAUCCGACUGAUUAAUCUGCAUUUGGCUCGAUCAAUGAGCUGGCUAAGCUCCUAUACGAAUCGUGCCGAACGGAUAGCUGUUGAGCAACGUCCUGGGAGGACAUGAGCCUAACUUCUUCUAACGGUUGCAUGUUAGCGUUAGUAUUAAAGAAUUAGCAUAAUUGUUUAGUCAAAAAGCUUAACUAGCUCUCUACGCAAGCGUAUGUGUCGACAAUGUAAACAAAAAUAAUAAACGCGUAGAUUUCCUUUGCCAGGAUAGUCCUAUAGAAGUGAUCAGAUAAGAUGUAGGUAACUAAAGUUUCGCUAUAAAGGAUGGUGUUAUGUAAAUUGCCCUUAACUUCAAAUUCAAGUAAAAAGAGUAUAACUAUACUGUAAGUUAGAACAGUACCGGAUCAUUAUGCCACUUAUAUGUAGAAUAACAGAAUUUAAGAACUGGAUAAGGCAUGCCGAAACUUCGCCAGGUUGAAAAAAAACAUGCGCGUAUAUUUUAGUUAAAAUAAUGGUGAUUACGUAUAGUGCAUAGUAAGGAGUUGUCCUUUCCUACAAAAAAUGUAAAGCUUUGAAAAGAAGAUACGUUACGUAUUGUACCGAAGGCAUUGUUUAAAGCGAUAAGAAACUGUAUACAGAUUCGUAAGAUCAAUAAAUUACAAAAUCAAAUCUAAUUUACAUAAUCGUUUUAUCAUUGUAAUAUCCAAACCAAAUAAAAGCUACGUCGAACAUGAACAAUAAAAAAUAACGUUGGCGUUCCACCGUCUAAAAAGCACCAAACACAUUUGUUUAGACGCCAGCCGCAGAUCGAUAAAAAAGAUCAUGUGAAUAGCAGCGAUUCCGUUACAACCAUGGACCAUGCCUGAAACCUCGGUGAGUAAAGAAAUUUUCUCUAAUUAAAAAAUAUAUGUUCUCUCUUCCUAUCUCAUUCGCAGACACAAAUCUAAAUAUAGAUCGGAUAUCUACAACAGUCGCGCUGUUGUAAGGAAUUAGAAGCAAGCAAAGGAUCACACAUAACCUCUUUUUUUCGCCUACGGUAAGGCCAGCUGACAAGUAGGUGUAAAUGUGUUCGUGUCGCCAUGGUUUUUCUUGUGUGCGUGCCAUCCGACCCCCCGAUAAGCUGCCGCGCGGUCGAGUCCAUUAAAAAAAGCCAAAAAACUGCUCGAUAUUUCUA